UCAAUCUUACCCAGACAGACAUUCUCCAUUUUCUCUGUUUCGAAUGCUUUUAAUUUUAAUACGCAGUUUCAACCGUUACAACGUGUUCGACACCCGACAUUUUUUUUUUGUUGAAUUUGAGGCCUGGAAGGUGUCACAGUAAUAAACAUAUUCCCAAAGUCUAAAAAUCAAAAGUUGAAGAAUUUCCAGGAUGUUUUUCAUUGACUAAAUGAAACAUUUUAAGGAUAACCUCCUUUAAUCGACCUCAUCAACUGCCCGGACGUUGCCUAGUAAAAAACGAACGUUGGACUGCAUCACCCCAUGGUAUUACGUACACAUAAAAAACUUCUCAAGGUUCGCAUAUUGGAAAUUCGAUUCGUCGAAACCAAAAACUUUAAUUUUCCGGCUGUUGCUCAAUGAUAAGAAUGUUCUUCAGUUCGAGGAACACUCUUGGCCGAGAUGACUACAUAAUUACCCGCAAGUUAUGUACACAUAUUUUUUUUUUCGUAUUUAGAAAGCAUCGGGGUCGUCACCCAAUACACACUGAUCGAUCCA